CAAGAUUAGCCAUGCAUGUCUAAGUAUAAGCAAUUAUACAGCGAAACUGCGAAUGGCUCAUUAUAUAAGUUAUCGUUUAUUUGAUAGUACCUUACUACUUGGAUAACCGUGGUAAUUCUAGAGCUAAUACAUGCUGAAAAUCCCGACUUCGGAAGGGAUGUAUUUAUUAGAUUAAAAACCAAUGCCCUCUGGGCUCCUUGGUGAUUCAUAAUAACUUUUCGAAUCGCACGGCCUUGCGCCGGCGAUGGUUCAUUCAAAUUUCUUCCCUAUCAACUUUCGAUGUUUGGGUAUUGGCCAAACAUGGUCGCAACGGGUAACGGAGGGUUAGGGCUCGACCCCGGAGAAGGAGCCUGAGAAACGGCUACUACAUCCAAGGAAGGCAGCAGGCGCGCAAAUUACCCAAUCCCGAUUCGGGGAGGUAGUGACAAUAAAUACUGAUACAGGGCUCUUUUGGGUCUUGUAAUUGGAAUGAGUACAAUUUAAAUCUCUUAACGAGGAACAAUUGGAGGGCAAGUCUGGUGCCAGCAGCCGCGGUAAUUCCAGCUCCAAUAGCGUAUAUUAAAGUUGUUGUGGUUAAAAAGCUCGUAGUUGAACCUUGGGCCUGGCUGGCCGGUCCGCCUCACCGCGUGUACUGGUCCGGCCGGGCCUUUCCCUCUGUGGAACCUCAUGCCCUUCACUGGGUGUGGCGGGGAAACAGGACUUUUACUUUGAAAAAAUUAGAGUGCUCCAGGCAGGCCUAUGCUCGAAUACAUUAGCAUGGAAUAAUAAAAUAGGACGUGUGGUUCUAUUUUGUUGGUUUCUAGGACCGCCGUAAUGAUUAAUAGGGACAGUCGGGGGCAUCAGUAUUCAAUUGUCAGAGGUGAAAUUCUUGGAUUUAUUGAAGACUAACUACUGCGAAAGCAUUUGCCAAGGAUGUUUUCAUUAAUCAGGAACGAAAGUUAGGGGAUCGAAGACGAUCAGAUACCGUCGUAGUCUUAACCAUAAACUAUGCCGACUAGGGAUCGGACGAUGUUAUUUUUUGACGCGUUCGGCACCUUACGAGAAAUCAAAGUGCUUGGGCUCCAGGGGGAAUAUGGUCGCAAGGUGAAUAG
rnacentral:rRNA from 1 species